CUAAGAGAAUUCUAAAAUUUAAAGAAAAGAAGGAAAAGAUAAUCCUAGAAAAAUAGACGAAAUAUACGUAUACUAAAUAUUUAGCGAUCGAUCGAUAUCAAACAAAACGUACAAGAAUUUAUGACUGAAAAUCGAACGCGUUUUCCCGAUACUAUCCUAAUCCGUGUCCUUGGACGAUGAGCAUACAGCGUUGUGUAGAAACCUAGUACUUGGCCAUGGCCGAUUAAUCGUGCACCAGGGUGUGUAUCUUCGUUGUGGCAACAAACCUGGAGAUACCAGGAGGCGAGAACGGGGGCCGAAAAUAAAAGAGAGCUACGAUCUUCAUCGAGAAAUAAUCGUACCUCUUCAGUCUUCCCAGACUUAUCCGACUUACUGGCCGCAUUCCCACGAGAAUCCUUUGAAAAUUUAUCGGCUUCGAUGAACAGGAGACAGAAUAACAGCUCUAGACGUUACUAGCUCGACGGAAAGAAAACAGAAAAGAGUGUCGUUGACCCCAGCCAUAAAGUGGUCCUCGAGUGUCCGAGCGCGGUUUCGAGGAGCAAAAGAGCCGCUGGCUGGUCAUAUCAGAGGCAGAAACAAGAAACAGAAGGAAAUUGGUCCACGUUAUCGACGCACUUGAUUCCUUCGCCGUCUCGAGGAGGCUAAUUUUAAGAUCAUCUCGAGAGUGAAGGAGGACUACUUCGACCUCUGUGAUGAUCAACGGCCAUGGCGCCAGGAGCAACGACCCUGACGAGUCUUCUGUUGCUGUUGAUGACGGUGACGAGAUGCUCGUUGACGAAAAGUUUACUCGUGAGCACGCACGCGCCAUUCGCAAAGACUCUGACAGGCGUCAGGUUAGCGGGUGGUUACAUGGAAGUGGUCCAGGAAGAUUAUUGCUCGCAUGGUGCUGUCCGACUGACCUGCAGGUCUCUCAAGGCGUUCAUCUUCGUCCUGGAAGCGGAGUAUCUGUCGAAUCUUACGCACGCUUGCGGAUACGAUGUGCAGAAGUUGAUGGAGAAGAAAGUGUACAGGACUCGAGGUAGCAGUAUGUCGUUCAAGAAGAAAGAGCUGAAGGGAAAUUAUAUCGAUGAUAUUGAGGAUGAACAAUUCAGGGUGGUAGAUAUUAGGCAGUCAUUGAACAGGAGAUGUUCCGGACAAAAACAUUGUCGUUACAACCUCACCACCGAACAACCAGGUGCUGUUUACUGGAAUCCUGCCACUUUGCAGUUAAAGUACGCGUGCAUUCCUGAGGCUGCCGUGAAGAAAUAUUGCAACGAGGAGCUGAAGGUGGUCCCUGGCGAGGGUGGUUUCAUAAAUUCACCGGGUUAUCCGCUUUACUACCUCGGUGAAAAUACGUGCGGCUGGACCUUCAGGUCGGCUCCUGGGCACAGGAUAGUCCUGACGCUUCACGACCUGAAUAUCCGGGAGCCUGAAUCGGAUGGAAGUUGCGUAGACAUUCUAAGGGUGCGGGAAAAAGGAAAAACGUUGUUCGAGAAUUGCGGUACCGCGGCUGGCGUCAAGGUCAUCUCAAAUUCGAAUGUAGUUACCCUCGACCUUGUCGCCACGAAGAAGCUAUACACGGCACGAGGAUUCUUCUUGCAAUAUCAAGUGCUAGCCUGUCCAGAUGUCUCAGCACCCAACGGAAGUUACGUAUUGAAUGGUACUUUGACUACGAAAACCUUUUUGUGCAAAUUCGGCACCGUAUUCCCUGACAGCAAAGAAAGAACAAGGAUACUGGAGUGCAAGAACGGCAAGUGGAAUGAGAGUGUCAUCAACAUGCCGAGUUGCAUAGCUACGUCCCUCACGGGCCUCCCGGGAACCCAUGGCUGCCCAUUGCUUUCGAAAGGUGAAGCUUGUGGUGGGGGAUAUCGUGGUGAACGGCGGGGACAUAGGAAGAGGGGUUGACGGUGCGCGGGAGACGGGGCGGGAAGAAAGAAAAAGACGGAGGGAAAGAAUCUUAGGGCGGAGAAGUAUUCGUGAAGGCACCAUACAUCGGUAGCGUCGCGCACGUAACGACGCCAGUCGUCUCGACGCCACGUGUCUCCUCGAAAAAAUCGCUUGAAAACCAAUUUCCUGUGCGAACAAACUCGAUCGUGUUUUUCGGUCGAAUUAUAUUUUCACUCAAUUCAUCGUUGCUCGAUUGACCAGUGAUAUCGAUCUGGAAACACUGAUAUUUGCGAAACGACAACGAAGAAGAGAGUAACACGCAUUCAACCAUAUUUACGUCAUUUCAACACUAGCAGCCACGUCGGCGGUGAUCCUGAAGACAGAGCACGACCAUAAUCGGUUAUCCAGUCUUUCGGGGGAUAAUAUCCUUGGCACUGGAGUUAGGAUUGGUCGGGGCGAAGACGCAGUCGCAGGUAUCAACGGCAACAUUAUGGAUUCGGCGCAAUCAGCCAUGAUGAAGCAAACAGACUACGUCGUAGAUAUUGUCUUGCCAACUGUUCUAAUUGCUCUGCUAUUCGUUGGCAACGCCAUCAUCGUCUACAUUAUCUUUCAGUAUAGAAAGAGGAAAGUUUCAUCAAUAGAGCAGGGCGAGGAAAUGUCUCUACGUAAUGCAGCCGAGGUGCCACAGGUGUGAUUCGUGUUAGAAUCAACGAUAAAAUUUACGGUGCCAGCCCAAAAAGCGUCAGCGAGAAGGCCUACGUUGCAUUUUUCUACGAGGAUGAUCUCCAAACGAAAAUGGAUCUCUAAAAAGAGGAUCGUCGAGGAGUAUCGAACAUCAUCUUUUUUUCUUUCUUCUCCACUUUUAGAAAGAAGAAUAAUCGUCGAGUCUGCAGAUGGAUCCUCGAAACUCGUGUUCAUUCGAUUUUGAUAGUUAUAUGUUCUUUGGUUGGGACACAUGACUGGAAAAUGUCUUUUUUACACGCGCGAAAUUCAGAGACGCUCUCGAAGAAAAGACUAUAAUGCGCUUGUCGCCACUCGUAAUAAGAACCGCUGUCAAUAUUUAGGAAUCCAGGCGCCUAAUUAGUGCUGCCAUGGUCUUCUACCUACAUGUUCACGCAUACAGACACACAUACGUACACAUAAACUUACGAUAAUGUAUUAUAAUGUAAGGAAAUAAUAUAUUCUAUAUUUCGUCCAAAUUGUGACUUAAGUUAAGAAUAAACAGAUGUUUUCAUAAUA